AUGGGCGUGGCUGGUGCAACCGGUACUGGCAGAGGUCAGGCUCUAGGCGCGCCUCCGCCUAACUUCGUUGCGCGGCCGGCCCAAAACCGGUCGGGACCAUCUCAGACGAGGCAGAAUUCUAAAGACUCCCGUGCUCCGCCCCGAGGCCAAUGGGGGGACGAUGGGUUAGAUGUGUAUGGCAAUGGACAGCACCGGGGUUCCACCUCCACGGGAGGGGGGCGUGGUUAUGCCUGGCAGAGUGACGGGUCUGCUGAGAGACCGUUUCUCGGGCCUCCAGGAGGUUUUGUUGAGGGUGCUUCCGGUCCGGAUCACCGCCAGAGAGGGGGUCACUGUGGGCAUCGCGGCGGUCGGGACGGUGGCCGCGGGAGGUAUCAUCGCAGACCGCCUCCGCCUCCCGCAGUUGUUGACCAAGCGGAGUCAGUACUGGAGACCGAUUGCGCUUCCAAGGAGCUCCCUCCCCAGGCCAUGGAGGUGGUAGCGGCUUUAGCCACUGUUGAGGUUCCGGCGACUAGGAGUGUGACUGAGGUUACCGACAGGUCUGAUGCUGAGAGGGCGUCCAAGUGGGCGCGUAAGAAGGAAAGGAUGCUUUGCUACCGUUGUGGUGAGAAGGGCCACUUCAUCGCUGAAUGCGUGGCAGAGCUGUGUGAGUCCUGUGGUAAGAUGGCACAUGCCUCGGGGGAUUGCCCGUUGUUGCGUGACCAGGCUCCGUCUUUGACUAUGUAUGGAGUUUAUUGUGCUGAGCUAAUGUUCUUUGAGUCCCCGGCAGCGAGAGAGACUCCGGAGGAGACUUUGAGCUUGACCACCGGGGUUGUCAAAGCUACUCAGGGUGAGGUUUCGGAGGAUCAUAUAGUGCAGAGGCUUCAGGAACUGGCACCGGGAGACUUCCAUUGGGAGCUCGUUCCUCUCGAGGCCAAGGUUUUUAAGGUGGAGUUUCCUUCAGUGGACGAUCUGCAACGACUGUUGAGUUUUGGUUUAUGCAGAGUUCCUGGCACUAGGUGCAUUCUGGAGUUCCAUGAGUGGCAGCAGGUGGAACCUAAAGGAAAGCCGCUUACGCAGGUCUGGUUGCGGUUUUCGGGGGCUCCAUCUAAGCCUUUGCAGGAUGUUCGAGUCGUGGCCAGUAUGGGCAUUAUGGUUGGCAAGACGGAGAAAGUGGAUAUGGCCUUUACUCGUGCACAUGGAGUGGCCCGCAUCUUAGUGAGUGUUUUGGAUAUUGAGUUCGUGCCUGACGUGGUUAACUGGACUUACAGAGGAGAGGUGUUUCCUCUUGAGAUCGAGUUUAAGGACGCUGCCCUGUUUGCUGAGGCAAUGAUUGGGAAUGAUGUUGACAUGCACGAGGGGGACGACAGUACGGGAGCUGAGGAGGCACCGACUGACGAGUCGACUCGUGAGGGGACUAACGGCUCUCGUCCUGUAGCUCAGACCGGGGAUGGAACCGGGGUUGAGCCGACACCUUCUCCAUCAGUGCCUAUGACUUCGUUGCGGUUCGGGUCCUUUGAGCCAGCCUCUGCCCCUCCCAGACUUUGGAGUGACCGGGUAGAUUCUGAUGAUGCGUUUGAGCAGUCACUACCUUUGUUGGCGUUCGAGGAUGCUGGUGGGGCACCGGCUGGAUGCUUGCUGUGGACAUCGUCGGUGAGGACUUUGGUUGGUUCCGGGGACGGGGAGUCGGUGGUUGCUCCACCGGAGGUCGACUUUUCGGCCCUAACGGCUGCGGCUGUGGUGGGGCGUGGGGGUGGGGGGUCGGGGCAGGUGGCUCCCACUUCCCCCUUCACUAUACCGACAUCGGCAUCGCUGGUCAUGACGGGACCGGCAGGUGAUGGGAGAGGAAGCCCGAGGCAGGCGGCCGCGGCUCUCUCUCUUUCGGGCGUGGCGGCGGCGGCCGCGCCUUCUGUGGCGUUGGGGGAGGGGGGUUUGGGGCAGGCGGCCCUGACUCCUCCUUCCUCGCCGGCGGUCAGGAGGAGCGCAUCUCCUUCGAUUGUGGCGGCGCCCGCGCCUUCUGUGGCGUUGGGGGAGGGGGGUUUGGGGCAGGCGGCCCUGACUCCUCCUUCCUUGCCGGCGGUCAGGUUGACCGCUUCUCCUUCGGCUGUGGCGGCGCCCGCGCCUUUUGUGGCGUUGGGGGAGGGGGGUUUGGGGCAGGCGGCCCUGACUCCUCCUUCCUCGUCGGCGGUUAGGAGAUCCGAGCCUCCUCCCAGUGUACCUGUUGCUAUGGGGCUCGGAUUGGGGCACUUGUCCGAGGGGUCUGGGAGCCCGCAGCCGCCUCCUCCGGUAUCCUUGGUUGACCCUUCGCGGGUUUCAGCGCGAGGAGUUACUAGGGAGGAGGUCGUUGCUUUUGGCGGGAUCCCGGACCCGGCCUCGACGGGGAGGCGGAUGAGUGCUCGCAUUCAGGAGCUUCCGGAGGUUGAUGACAUGCAGCAGAGGUGCGCUAUGAGGGCGGCCAAGCUUCAUGAUGCUGCAAUCUCUACUGGUUAUUUUCCGAGCCACGGCCGUGAUCCGUUCAUGGUCGCUACUCACUCCGAUGGAGGCCAGGGAGCAUUUGGUUACUGGAUCUAUCCGCUGGGAGAUGGUAGCUCGGGAUAUCUUCAACCGGUUUGGAUGGCGGUCAUCUAA
rnacentral:rRNA from 1 species